UGGCGGCAGGCUUAACACAUGCAAGUCGAGCGAAGCCUUCGGGCUUAGCGGCGGACGGGUGAGUAACGCGUGGGAACGUGCCCUUUGCUACGGAAUAGUCCCUGGAAACGGGGUUUAAUACCGUAUGUGCUCUUCGGAGGAAAGAAUUUCGGCAAAGGAUCGGCCCGCGUUGGAUUAGGUAGUUGGUGGGGUAAAGGCCUACCAAGCCGACGAUCCAUAGCUGGUUUGAGAGGAUGAUCAGCCACACUGGGACUGAGACACGGCCCAGACUCCUACGGGAGGCAGCAGUGGGGAAUCUUAGACAAUGGGGGCAACCCUGAUCUAGCCAUGCCGCGUGAGCGAUGAAGGCCUUAGGGUUGUAAAGCUCUUUCGCUGGGGAAGAUAAUGACGGUACCCAGUAAAGAAGCCCCGGCUAACUCCGUGCCAGCAGCCGCGGUAAUACGGAGGGGGCUAGCGUUGUUCGGAAUUACUGGGCGUAAAGCGCGCGUAGGCGGAUUGGAAAGUUGGGGGUGAAAUCCCGGGGCUCAACCCCGGAACUGCCUCCAAAACUAUCAGUCUUGAGUUCGAGAGAGGUGAGUGGAAUUGCGAGU
rnacentral:rRNA from 1 species